CCGCGCCGUGCCCGCGGAGCGGGGUGCUCGGGGCGGUUUCCGGGGACUGGGCGGCCUGGAUCCCUGUGGGACCGAAGGUCUUAAAGACUGACAGUUUCCAGGGAAAGGCGGCUCUUAGUCGCAAGCUCCCGUCGCGAAAGUAAAGGGAUCCAUGCAAACCGAGGCCCGGAAGAGACAGCCUGACGGCUACGGGCUGCCGCAAGGUCCAAGCCCCGUGGUUAGGCGUUCCUGCUCGGGGCGGAAUUCUUGCCCGGCGGUCCGGCGCCCGCAGCGGCGUCCCUGAGCCAGCUUUUGGUGUGGCCUGUGCGGUGUGCGGGGAUGAGAACUCGGAACGGGGGUUGAUGAAGGAGCGGGAGUGGCAGUGAAACGACCGAGCCAGAAAGCACGUGGGGAGAGGGGACAGCGCCAUUGGAGGCCUGAUUUCUGAUUCGCUGAACCUGUGGUUUCUCCCUGGGACCUGGAAACCAGCAUCCCAGCGACUCCUUGCAGAUGCUGAGUCCUAAGGUUUUCGAAGCCUCCUCCUGAAACUUAGAUGAGAGUCAUUGGUUCCCAUUCAAGGGAGGGGCAGGGAUAUGAUUCUGGGGCAACAGCCUUGGUAACAGAAUCACUUGCAUUGCUAUCAAUUCUCCAAAAGCUACAAUAGAAAGAGGAUGAAGCAAAGAAAAAAAAAAAAAUCCGGAGAACCGGAUAACCCAAGGGCGUGCAAGACAACGCCUCUUUCUGCAUUGAGGACACCCAAUAAUCUUGACUCAUUUCAAAGUAUUUCACACAAAAAUGAAGAGUAGAGGUGCUGCUGACCCAACAAAGCAAAACCAAAGUCCCCGCCUGUCAGGGAGCGCAGAGACUCAUCAAACAGGUAAAUAAGAAUACAGUCAACUUACAAGGACGACUGCUGUGCUCCCGUCGAGGAAAAGACGUAAACAGGGAGCCAGGGCACCUGGGCAUCGACCUGGCCUGGGGUCGCAGGGGAGGGCUUCCUCUACGAUGUGACUUUGGGAAGGACACGUGGGUAUUUGGUGAGGAAAGGAAAGGCGGGCGGGAGUGGAGGAAGAGCUCGAAGCAGAGCUAGGUGUGGAGGCGCUGGCUGGAGAGCAGCAGGGACUGGUGGAGUUUCUGCGAGGAGCCCUGUGCAGAGAGCACGGCGCGGGGAUGCGGCUUGGGACCUGGCUGCAGAGCUCGGGAGGGGCCGGUUCUUAACAACCAAGGAGGGAUUCUGGCCAAAUCUGAGGGCCGUGGCGGCCACUGGAGGGUUUGAUCACAUUUGUGGUUUGUAAAGUUCACUCCGGCUGCUCAUUGGCAAAGAGACCGGCAAAGGGCAAGGACAAAUGCAGGGUCAUGUCCACUAAUGAAUGUUGAUGGAAGAAUCACAUGGCAGCAGCUGACAUUCUGCAACCACCAGAGCAUCGCCCUUGAUGGAUGGUGAGCCGCUGGGGGAAAGUUCACGGGAAAAUAGAAGUAGUACAUUUAGAUAUCUAAGUAGUCUCGAAGCUUCUUCCCCACAGAUUCCCUGCUAAUUACUUACAAAGGGAGAAUAAAAUAUGUUUAGCAAGUUCUCUUGUCCCGCAGCUAGUUACGGAUCCAGUGUUGUCACUGCAGCAGCUUGGGUCGCUGCUGUGGCUCA